rnacentral:rRNA from 1 species
AUUAACGCUGGCGGCGUGCAUAACACAUUCAAGUCGAACGGUGACGGGGACUUCGGUCCCCUGAUCAGUGGCGGACGGGUGAGUAACGCGUGAGGCAAUCUACCUCUUGGUGAGGGAUUAACAACCGGAAACAGUUGCUAAUACCACAUUGAAACGGCAGUACCGCAUGGUACAACCGUCAAAGAUUUAUUUGCCAAGAGAUGAGCUUGCGUCUGAUUAGCUAGUUGGUGAGGUAACGGCUCACCAAGGCGACGAUCGGUAGCCGGACUGAGAGGUUGAACGGCCACAUUGGAACUGAGAUACGGUCCAGACUCCUACGGGAGGCAGCAGUGGGGAAUAUUGGGCAAUGGGCGAAAGCCUGACCCAGCGACGCCGCGUGAGGGAAGAAGAUCUUCGGAUUGUAAACCUUAGUCAACAGGGAAGAAGAAAGUGACGGUACCUGUGGAGGAAGCCACGGCUAACUACGUG